rnacentral:tRNA from 1 species
AGAGAAAUGACUGAGAGGUUUAUAGUUAUAAAUUGCUAAUUUAUUGUAUAUAAAAUAUAUACCAAGGGUUCGAAUCCCUUUUUCUCUA